GCUUACCCAUCAUUAACCUCGAAACAAGCCAAUCGGCCUUGUAAGAGAAAUGAAAAGAAAUGAUCAGCAGUUGCUGUUGCUGCGCUGAUGUUGAUGUUGACGAAGAAGAAAAACGAAGAAACAAAAACUUUGCCG
rnacentral:miRNA from 1 species